rnacentral:rRNA from 1 species
UACAGAGGUCUCAAGCGUUGUUCGGAUUCAUUGGGCGUAAAGGGCGCGUAGGCUGCGGGGCAAGUCGGGUGUGAAAUCUCAGAGCUCAACUCUGAAACUGCACUCGAUACUGCUUUGCUCGAGGACUGGAGAGGAGAUUGGAAUUCACGGUGUAGCAGUGAAAUGCGUAGAUAUCGUGAGGAAGACCAGUGGCGAAGGCGGCUAUCUGGACGGUUUCUGACGCUAAGACGCGAAAGCGUGGGGAGCAAACAGG